GAUGAACGCUGGCGGCGUGCCUUAUACAUGCAAGUCGAGUGGGUUUAGACCCACGGCAAACGGGUGAGUACCACGUAGGUACUUUCCUUGUCACAGGAAUAACCCUCCGAAAGGAGGGCUAAUCUCUGAUGUGAUCGUAAGAUUAAAGGGUAUCCGCAAGGGUUACCGGUCAAGACGAGGCCUGCGGCCUAUCAGCUAGUUUACGGGGCAACUGCCCACCCAGGCGAUGACGGGUAGCUGGUCUUAUGAGGAUGAUCAGUCACAUGGGCACUGAGACACGGGCCCAGCUCCUACGGGAAGGAGGAGGAGGGAAUUUUGCGCAAUGGGCGAAAGCCUGACGCAGCGACGGCGCGUGCGGGAUGAAAGCCUUCGGGUCGUAAACCGCUUUUAUAAGGGACGAACUUUGACGGUACCUUAUGAAUAAGAGGUUGCUAACUCUGUG
rnacentral:rRNA from 1 species